UACGAAGGGUGCAAGCGUUACUCGGAAUUACUGGGCGUAAAGCGUGCGUAGGUGGUUCGUUAAGUCUGUCGUGAAAGCCCCGGGCUCAACCUGGGAAUGGCAUUUGGGACUGCAAGGCUUGAGUGCGGCAGAGGAGACUGGAAUUCCUGGUGUAGCAGUGAAAUGCGUAGAUAUCAGGAGGAACACCGAUGGCGAAGGCAGGUCUCUGGGCUGACACUGACGCUCAUGCACGAAAGCGUGGG
rnacentral:rRNA from 1 species